UCGGGGUCGGCGCCAGAGGCCCAGAGGCUCUGGCCUGAUGGAGGCGAGGCAGGCUCUGUGGCCUCCCCGGGUCAGUCCGAGUUUAGUCUGCGGAGGCGACGGCGGGGGAGCUGGCCGGGGCCAAGAUGGACCCCAAACCAGACAGGCGCUUUCCUCCCCCCCCACCCCCCCACUCGCGCCUUAGUCCCUGCCCAUAUUGCCCGUCUCCGGUAGGACUAUCUGCCCGGCUUCUGUCUGCUGCCAACCUUGCCCGAAACCUAGACCCCAGACUUGGGGGACUCAGUUCAUUCUAUGGAAUUGGAACGACCUUGGGAAUAAUCUCAGGAUGACGUGCUGCCCAGUACAGCUCCUGGGAAGCUCUAGGAUGUGGCUUUAAACUGGAAAAACUCUUGGGAGCUGGGUUUGAUAUGGCAUGGUCUCUGAGGCAUCCCUAGUCUGAAGUUCUUCCAGGAAGUCUGCCAAGCUAAACCACAAAGGAUGAGCAGCUCAGAGCUUAGCGAGUGCUUCCUAGCUGCCCCCCAGGAGUGCUGGGAGCGAGCCUGGAGAGCUUCCCAGAAGACCUGAAAGGCCGCAGCAGCAUCGCUUACAGAAACGGCCCUGGAUAACGUUCGUUUUGGAUUCAUCUUCUGGAUUUGUGAUCUUGGGCGAGUUACUUCUUUUCCUCCAUUUCUCCAUAUGGAAAACUAGAGGAGUAAUACCUACCUUACAAAUAUUGCUUUUAUGAGAAACAAAGGAGAUGAUGUUUGUAAAGUGUUUGCUAAGUGUAAAAUGCUUAUCCCACUUAAAUCUAUCAUAGUAGUUAAAAGUGUGCCAUUAGCUUGAAUCUUGGCUCUCAACUGGGAAUAAUAAUUGUGCUUACUGCUCAUUCAGUGUUGUUGGGAGGGAACUACUACGUAUAAAACAGGUGGGCCAAUUCUGGAUGCAUUUACAUGCUUUUUGUUAUUAUUACUCUACGCACCCUUAUUUUCACUCAGAAGCAGACCAAAUGGACAUACUUAAUAUAUAUUGUAAGAAUGAUAGAGAAAUGAGAUUAAUUUUUAAAAAUGAAAUGAAAAGAAUAAAUACAUAUUGUUUUGAAUAUGCAAUAUUUAAGUUAUACAUGUUAUGAGGUGAUAAAAAUCAUUUCAUUUAUAGCAAUAUUAACUGAAAGAAACAAUUUUGAUCAUUUCAGUGUGUAUGUUCCUUGGUCAGGCUCUUGUGAGCCCAAAAUGAGAUGGCCUUUGAAAGUCUUUCUGGCUUUGGCUGGAGAUAAUGUUUUUAAUGGGAGAGUGUUUUGUAUUACCUGAUGGGUUUUAACUUCUUGAACAUCUUUAGUAAUUACCAUGUGCAGCAUUAGCUAGAUAGCUUUCAAACUUUCAUAGUUAUUCUUUAUUAAUCUUCUAAAAAGAUUGUGUUUUAUGCUAUAUGUAAAUAUGCGAGCUUAUAUGCUCUUUAAGAUGAGAUGAAAGGGAAUGAUUUCAUUCUAUAUUAGAAAAACUAGGUUAGUGCUUCCCGAAUGUUAGUUAACAGGUACAAUGAAGAUCAUAACCAAACACAAUGAAAAUAUUCCUCUGGUCAAGUUUGAGAAAAAACACUAGAUUAAUUAAAACUCCAAAAUACAGCUUUUAUUGUAUCACUUCUCAAAAUCUUUAACAUAUUAAUGUGUAAGGAGAAUCUCUAAAGAUGGCAGUAGUAUGUUUGCUAAAUAUUAUUUGACCACUAAGACCUUUUCCUGAGGAGCUAUUGUUAAGGAAUAUAUUUUGGUAAGUGUGAGGCUGGAAGAUUAUUGUGUUUUUCGUCUUUGUUUUUAAAUGAGAGAAAACACAGUUCAUAUGAGUUUAGAAUUUUCUACCAUAUUUGCAUCUAGUUUGCUCAAUUCUAUUGGGGACAUCCUUGCAAAGCUACCUUACCAGACAAUUUCCAGGGAUAAGGGACUGUGGUUCCUGGCCUCUCCCUUUCUUCCUUCUCCUAUUUUAAAAGUACAAAUGAUUCCAUAGACUAGGCCAAGGAAACUUCCAGUUUUGCCCCUAAGAGGGUCUGAUCCUGAAGAUGGAGAGAAAAAGUAGCAUCUGAGAUUUAAAGAUGAGCAGGAGGCAGUAUUCGAAACAAAAGUGGUAUCCACAAGAACAGCCUUGGAACUCCGAAAAAUUAUUUUAAGGGGAAAAUUAGAGGCGUCAAUAAACUCAAGAAGGAGAUAAUGAUGACAAUCAUUUUAUCAUGUGAAGGAGAGAAACAAUAGAAAAAGUAAAGCUCAAUUGAUGAUCCUUUUGUUUUGUCUUGUUUUUGUUUUUGUUUUGUUUCAUUCUUCCUACCUUGACACUUUGACAUUUGGGGCCAGAGAAUUCUACCUUGUAGAGGACUGCCCUGUGUACUAUAGUGUCUCUGGCCUCUACACACCAGAUUCCAGUAGCACCUCAUCCCCCACAAUGGGAUCCCCCAAAGUGUCUCCAGACACUGCUGAAUGUCUUCUGGCGGGGGGGCAAAAUUGACCUCAGUUGAGAACCAUUGGUCUUUCCCUUUCCCACAGUAUUUUCUCCUUUGGUGCUAGAAGGUGAAUACAGAAAAUGGAAGGGCAUCAUGCUGUAAAUGUUCAUGUGAAUAAUACAAUACAACCGCAAAUACGUUCAAGAGAGAUAACACUUCUUUAAUAGGUUUUCUGUCAUUUCUCUAAGUCGCACUCUGGAAGUAUGGGAUCACUUUUUAAUCUCGCAGUAGCUGAGUUAUUUUUUUAUUCUUUUGCCCGGACUGAUUGCUAUUUUCACGUAAAAGACAAUUAGUAAAACAUUCACUUCUUUUUCUUUUCUUUUUUUUUUUUUUUUUGUCUUAAAGCAUUUAAGAUGGAAUCACUAAAACUGUGGCUUAAAAUAUCUCCUGGUUGGUGUAAUCUUUCUGGAAUUAACAAACAUUAGUCAUUGAGAUAAAAUAAGUGGUUGCCGAAUAUGUUGGUUAAAGCUAUAAACCUAAUGAAAUAAAAUGGAAUACGGUACCUUGCCUAUUUAUAUUUUUACAUUCUUUUGGGCUAUAAAUUCACACCUAUUUUUCUGUCUCUCAAUGGUUUCCACCUUUUAUAUUGGUGUUUGGGACUCUAAGACUAGAAAUGAAGCUGUCCAUGAUAGGUUAGAAAAGAGAGAAUCUGAAAAUAAACUUGUAGUUUCCUAGCACAAUUGAGGCUAAAAAUGUGCAUUA